rnacentral:tRNA from 1 species
GGGGCGUUAGCUCAGCUGGUCAGAGCAAUUGGUUUACACCCAGUCGGUCGGGGGUUCGAAUCCCUCACGCCCCA